UCCGCCAGGCGUGCCCCUCUCCAUCCCGGCCGCCUCUGCCCUUGCUGGUCGCUCUUCAGAGGGCGCAGCAGAAAGCCCUCCUCCUUCCCACCGGGAAGCAGGGUCAGCUGGAGGCUCCUGUGGGCCCCAAGAAAGCUGACGUUUCAGUGAAAUUGUUAUGAUUCCCCGUCUAUUCUGAGGCAGAGCUGAGAGCCGCUUCCAGCCGCCCUCCCAUCCGCCCCUCCAGGCAAAGCUCAAACUCGACACCAGCUCUCUCGGAGGAGCCGUUGAAAGGAGGCUGACGGAGCAGAGUCUUACCCGGGAGGCUCGGAUGCGUGGAUGGCCUCUAAGUCCUGAGGUUCAAUGUUGCAAAGGUCAAUGAAGCACUUUGGUUUCUCUGGUGACACAAAGUCUCAGUGAAGAGGACUACUCCACUGCUGGGAUAGAAGUCUGCAGAGAACAGAGCUCAGCUGCCUAAGUUGAAAUCUAUUCCUCUCGAUCGACUGGUGCCUGUGGAACACCUGCUGGGAGUUUGCGGCGAAAGAAGCACAAAGUGGUCCAUGUCGGGAAGCAGCUUCCUGCCGACCUGGGGAGGCUCCAGGGACGCUGAGGACGGCAGCUAGGCCUUCAAGGUUUUACUCUAGGUGAACCAAGCCACUCCUUCACUCGGCUUAGAAAUCUCCUCAGCUAAAUAUCGAAGUUCAUCACUGCAAGUUCCACCUUCCACUCAACCCUAGAACACAGUCCAGCCAAGUUCCUUGUCACUGUUAACCAGUUGCCAAAAACACACUCCUCGUUUCCAUGUGAGCCUCCUACGAAUGGCCUUUAACAUCCACGUGUCUACCAAUAUUCUGAACAAAUGAAGUUUGUUCCCCGGUUCCAUCCAGGCAGCACGUCCCACAGGCCUCGCGGUGGCUGUGACUUUCUGGAAUGAGCGCCUGACUCGUUCCGGCCACCUCUGCUCCCAUCCUGGCCCUGCCUGCUCGGGAAGCCGUUUAACCACGAUGGGUCUCAGUGCUGCCGUUGGGGUGUGGGGAUGGCGGGACGUAACCUUUUCCCAGGCUUGUCGCAAGGGUGAAGCGAACCACGAGUGUGGAGGCAUUUCAGUGCCCGCACACCUAAGGGAUUCCUAGUCACGCUUCCGGGCCCCUACGUGGCUAGACAGUCAAACCACCAAAGCCCACAUCUGUGCUCAUCCGUACUGGCCUCUUGCCUGACAGUAAGUGAGGGAGGAGUGGCAUUCUCUUUCGGGGCGGGGGGAUCUUUUUUAGAACAGAGACCAAGGAUGGCGAAUACUGGGUUCCAGAGGGGUCUCGGCUGUGUCCAGUCUCCGCCUGAGAGGGCGAUGGUGUCCAUCAAGGGCGUCGCGGGGAAGAGGCCAGACUUAGCCCAGACCCCCCGGGGCUCUGCUGGCCAGUCACCGGGCUCUUGCUUUUCAAUUUUCUAGGCUCUCAGGAACCCCACCACCCUCCAGUGUGGGGGUUUGUUGUCCAGAGGUACAGAAUCAUGAUGGCACAAGGUGGUUACCACCGCUUAAUGAUUAAACCAAAACCGACUGCCGUGUCCGUCCUCAGUAUCCGCAGAAAUGAGCAGAGGGCCUCACGUCAAGCGAGUGUUUGAUGAGUGAAUCCCUGCUAACAGGCGCGAAGCACCGCCAGCCUUCACACCACCCGCAGCCGUGCCCUGAGUUACAAAGCAAAGAGCACAGGAGACCGCCACGCCUCAGCUGAGACAAAGGCCGAGAUCAUUAAAGCCAUGACCAGUUACAAGCAGACUUCCUGUGUUCCUCACUGCUCUGUGCUCUAUUGGCCCUUCUUCACCCGUGCUGAGCGCUCCCCACGUAGCACCGUAAUGACAUAAUUCUGCUUUGUCCCUCUCCCUAGACAGGGAAGCCCUUGUGGCCCAGGAGCCCUUAUUAGUCUGUGUUGCCAAAGCCUGGCGCACCCUCUCCAGACCUUAGAGGAGCAAGGAGGGUGUUGUCAAGCUUCCAGAGCGGGAGGUGUCAGCGACGUCUUCCUCUUCUCAUUCCUCCCUCCCGAGUGUCAUCACCUAAAGGUACCAAAGCUGCCCUGCUUUGUUUAUCUUGGUCUCUGUGUCUGCAAAUGCAUACAUUAGCUGCCUUUUGGAAAAGAGGUGGCUAUUCCAAAGGCUGGAAUUAGAUGUUGUUUUGGAUGUUUGCAGAGCGAAUUGUGGGACUAGAAAAACGCCUUUAUCCGGAACAGAAAUUGUGACACUUCCUAUUUUUUAAUGUAAAACAUGAAGUAAACAUAAUUCACAGUCAUUUUUAAUGUCCUGGUGCAUCUCAGAGCCCCAUUUAAGAUAAAUGAUUUUCAAAUGCCUGAUGAGUCUGGUUUGAAAGCCUCUGUGGAAUUGAUGUACUAUAAUGUACUCAGAUCAUUUUAAAUCCAGGCCCUGCUUUGAUAUUUGCCUCUCGUUGCCAUCAUGGA